rnacentral:rRNA from 1 species
GGUAAUUCCAGCUCCAAUAGCGUAUGCUAAUGUUGUUGCAGUUAAAAAGCUCGUAGUUGGAUUUUUAAGGGUGUCUGCUUCUAGCGUCCUACGUGACUUUAAAGUUGCAGACUCCCCUUAUUUUGCCUCAGUGCUCGGUUGGGAUUCAUUUCUCGAUCGGGCUUCCGGGGCGUGUUUACUUUGAGAAAAUUAGAGUGUUCAAAACAGUCUUGUGAUUGUAUAUCAUAGCAUGGAAUAAUAACUGAUGACGUCGGUCAUUUUUUGUUGGUUCGGAUGGCUGAAGUAAUGAUUGAUAGAGUUAGUCGGAGGUAUUAGUAUUUUAUCGUUAGAGGUGAAAUUCAUGGAUCGGUAAAAGACUAACAACUGCGAAAGCAUUUAUCUAGGAUUUGCUCUUUGAUCAAGAACGAAAGUUGGGGGAUCGAAGACGAUCAGAUACCGUCGUAGUCUCAACUAUAAACUAUACCAGCUAGGGAUUGGUGGGCGUUGCUUGACCUCAUC